rnacentral:tRNA from 1 species
GCUUAAGUGGCAGAUGCAGGCUAAUGCAUAAGGCCUAAGCCCUUAAUAAAGAGGUUCAACCCCUCUCUUAAGCU